rnacentral:rRNA from 1 species
GACGAACCGUGCGAACGUUAUUCGGAAUCACUGGGCUUAAAGCGUGUGUAGGCGGGCCGUUAAGUGUCUUGUGAAAUCCCCCGGCUCAACCGGGGAAUUGCUGGGCAUACUGGCGGUCUUGAGCGAUCUAGGGGCAGAUGGAACAAGUGGUGGAGCGGUGAAAUGCGUAGAUAUCACUUGGAACGCCAAAGGUGAAGACAGUCUGCUGGGGAUCUGCUGACGCUGAGACACGAAAGCCAGGGGAGCGAACGGG